rnacentral:rRNA from 1 species
GACGAACCGUGCGAACGUUGUUCGGAAUCACUGGGCUUAAAGGGCGCGUAGGCGGGCUGACAAGUCUGGGGUGAAAUCCCGCGGCUCAACCGUGGAACUGCCUUAGAUACUGUCGGCCUCGAGGAAGGUAGGGGCAUGCGGAACUGUAGGUGGAGCGGUGAAAUGCGUUGAUAUCUACAGGAACUCCGGUGGCGAAAGCGGCGUGCUGGACCUUUUCUGACGCUGAGGCGCGAGAGCGUGGGGAGCAAACCGG